AUUGAACGCUGGCGGCAUGCCUUACACAUGCAAGUCGAACGGUAACGGGCCUUCGGGUGCCGACGAGUGGCGAACGGGUGAGUAAUGUAUCGGAACGUACCUUUCAGUGGGGGAUAACGUAGCGAAAGUUACGCUAAUACCGCAUAUUCUGUGAGCAGGAAAGCAGGGGAUCGCAAGACCUUGCGCUGAUUGAUCGGCCGAUAUCAGAUUAGCUAGUUGGUGAGGUAAAGGCUCACCAAGGCGACGAUCUGUAGCGGGUCUGAGAGGAUGAUCCGCCACACUGGAACUGAGACACGGUCCAGACUCCUACGGGAGGCAGCAGUGGGGAAUUUUGGACGAUGGGGGCAACCCUGAUCCAGCCAUGCCGCGUGAGUGAAGAAGGCCUUCGGGUUGUAAAGCUCUUUCGGCCGGGAAGAAAUCGUAUCAGCUAAUACCUGGUGCGGAUGACGGUACCGGCAUAAGAAGCACCGGCUAACUACGUGCCAGCCGCCGCGGUAACAC
rnacentral:rRNA from 1 species